rnacentral:lncRNA from 1 species
GACAGGGAAGAAAAACGGCACAUCAGCGAAUGAAAAACUAGAUAACUCUGCAGCUAGGCUUGAGAAGUCUCAGUCCAUGAAGGCUGAAAGGAACUCUACCUCAGAAAAGCUUGAGAAAUCUCAGUCCAUGAAGGUUGAAAAGAAUUGUACCUCAGCAAAUGUGAAGGUUGAAAAGAAUUCUACAUCAGCAAGUGUGAAGGUUGAAAAGAAUUCUACAUCAGCAAGUGUGAAGGUUGAAAAGAAUUCUUCU